AAGUCGUAACAAGGUUUCCGUAGGUGAACCUGCGGAAGGAUCAUUAGAAAAUCACCGGCUUUAGCCGGUAAUAAAUUCUAUCCACCUUGUGUGCAAACAAUGGAAAAGAAAGAGAGAAAAAUUGGAUACUUUUUUGUAUUCAACCUCUCUAAAAUUUUUAUAAACUCCAUCAAAUUUUGAAUAAAACUAAUUUUUUUUUUAAUAAAAAAUAUUAUACAACUUUCAACAACGGAUCUCUUGGCUCUC
rnacentral:misc_RNA from 1 species